UUUCUCGCUAAAACCGAAAAAACUUGUUUUCCCGCCCAAACCGCAAAAACAAAACUCGUUAAUUUUGAAAUAAUUCUAAUGUAAAUAUAUUAAACUAAAUAAUUAAAUGUAAUAUAAUUAAAAUUAAUAUCAAACAUAUGAUUAAAUCAACACAAGGGUAUUUUGGUAAUUUGUUUACUAAACUCAUUUGAAUGGAAAUGAAAAUAAAGAAACAAACAUAAGAUCCAUUUAGAUUAUUCAUCUAGAUGAGCUAUGUGGAUGGACAAACAAACAAUCACAAUAAUCUGAAUGGAUCAUACAAAUGAAUCAUUUGGAUGGAGAUGACAAAUGGUGAAACAAACAGUACCUCUAUCAACAACUCGCCCUCACAUGCAGAUAAGCUAUUUUGGAAGCUACGUUCUUAGCGGCAUCAAAAUCUCUACUACUUGAUUCUUACCUAUAGACCUCAUUCUUCUCUAAUUCAAUAACUGAGGUUUGUUGUUUGAUCUUUAUUUCAAAACGUAUUUGUAUUUGUUUAAUGUUGAGAUAUAUACGGUAAAACAUUCAUGCUUAUUUCAAGCUGACAGAUUCUCCCGCAUUCGCUUUACCGUCCUAACUAAGUUUGUUGCAAUAACAGCGGUCACCCCUCUAAUACUGACUGAAUAUAAAUGUUUAGUAGAGGUUGAGAACAUGACCGGGACAAAAGUAGGCGACCGAUUAUUGAUCCCUCGGAUAUAGCUUACCCCUCUUGACACUUUGUAUCCUUUCACAUUUUGUCGACGUCAAUAUCCCAUGCGGCUCUGCUAUGUGACGACAAUCGAUAAAAGUCAAGGAUAAAGUCUCAAACAAGCUGUUUCAUACCUCCCUAGGACGGGCUUCACUCACGGCCAGUUGUACAUUGCGUUAUCUCGAGUGACAUCACCGGAGAGGCUUAAGAUACUAGACGAUACCUCUUGAGUCAGAUGGAGCUGAUGGAGUAACCAAUAUAGUCUACAAAGAGAUCUUCAAGGGCCUCCAAGACACAAAGGGAAAGAAGGCAAUGUGGUAUUGAACAAUUGGCUUCGACCAAGAUAACGUUUCAACGACUCGACUCUAUCUUCUCUUACCGUUUUCUAUUUACUACUUCGAUGAAAACCAUCAUCUUAGCGCUUUAAAAUAUAACUUACUACUAUAUGCCAACUAAAUAACUCCUAAAUAAAUAGAAUCAUCCAAGAAUAAACACUACUAUUUAAUAUACAAAAUGUAAAAAGAAUAAUUUACCUACAUGGCAGCUAAGCACUCACUUAUAUAAAAAUACAAAUUUGAUCAAAUGAAGCAUUCACACGAUAUUAGAUAACAAUUCCUCAAAAUAUGUUGUUGACUAAUUGAAAUACAUAAUAAGUAAAGGCUUAACUGUUGAGCUUAAAAUUUGUAAAAAAUAUAUUAAGUAUAAAUUAAUGGCCACAACUGGAUACUCAAAAAAAA